UUUGAGGUCUAUCCCGAUGGGGCUUCUGUAAUAGCCACACAUCGUUGGAAACGCCUCAUAUAGUAACUUGUGUUUUGCCUGACUCACAGGACUGCUUAUAGGUCUGUGGAAAGGAGGAACUACUACAAGACAUCU
ensembl:snoRNA Gm24455 small nucleolar RNA SNORA18